rnacentral:rRNA from 1 species
GAGUUUGAUCAUGGCUCAGAUUGAACGCUGGCGGCAUGCCUAACACAGCAAGUCGAACGGUAACGACGGAAGCUUGCUUCCGGGCGACGAGUGGCGGACGGGUGAGUAAUACUUAGGAAUCUGCCCAGUAGUGGGGGACAACUCGGGGAAACUCGAGCUAAUACCGCAUACGCCCUACGGGGGAAAGCGGGGGAUCUUCGGACCUCGCGCUAUUGGAUGAGCCUAAGUCAGAUUAGCUUGUUGGUAGGGUAACGGCCUACCAAGGCGACGAUCUGUAGCUGGUCUGAGAGGACGACCAGCCACACUGGAACUGAGACACGGUCCAGACUCCUACGGGAGGCAGCAGUGGGGAAUAUUGGACAAUGGGCGAAAGCCUGAUCCAGCAAUGCCGCGUGUGUGAAGAAGGCCUGCGGGUUGUAAAGCACUUUCAGUAGGGAAGAAAAGCUUACGGCUAAUACCCGUGAGUCUUGACGUAACCUACAGAAGAAGCACCGGCUAACUCCGUGCCAGCAGCCGCGGUAAUAC